UCUGACCAAUCAAAAUUGAGAAAAUUUUGACGGUGUGACAUGCUCGCCAACGUCAGUUAUUUACUAUUGUGGCGGAACUCGUACUAACCUUUGGUUUUAAAAGAAACAGAUAUCUAAGAAUCAUGUAUUUGUCUUUAUCUAAGCUAAGAAACGGUCGUUUAUUACCUCGUUUUCUGCUGGUACGUAUUUGUUUCCAAACGGAUUAUAGAUACUUAUUAAAAAUUAGUUUUUGUUUUUUUAAGCAUGGUUCAUUGCUUCUGUGCCCUAUUGAGGAAAAAUGGAAUAGCACAAUGGAAUCCAUUGCAAAUUGCGAAAAAUCAAGGCUGCUAUCGCUCAAGCAAAAGGAAUCCCUGAUAGAAUUUGUCCACAGCAAGUCCCAAAUGACAAGGCUUAUUCUCGUGUAGAAUUCUUAACGAAUGUAUAUUUAAUGAACAAUAAAACACCAUCUCCACCAA